rnacentral:rRNA from 1 species
AUGGCGCUCCCUACGCUAAGGGCCCGUCUCGGCCUGGGCUGCACCGCCAGGGUCGCAAAGGUCGUCGGCAGCAGCGGCACCUUCGGCAAGGCCUUGCCGACGGCCGCCCGUAGCGGCAGCGGCAAGACCCGGUGCUUCUCUUCCACCGCCGAGACGUCUUCCGAAUUCAGUAGCAUCCGUCUUCAACACGCUCUCACUGCGGUACGUGCUUUCGGUGUUGUUGUUGCCGCUUGGUGCCUCGUUCUUAUGGACGAUAGAGUCGACAAGAUAGGGAAGAAAGUCAGCAAAAUAGAGUGCAAAGUUGAUAAGUUAUCGAGGAUGGAAGACAAAGUCGACCAAAUAGUGAGGAUACAAAACAAAGUCGAUGAAAAAGUGGUGGCCAUGGAGGAUGAAGUUCAUAACAUAUGGAAGAAAGUCCACCAGAUGGAGGGCAAGGUGGAUAAAAUCGUGAGGAUGGAGAUUGCUAAAGUGGUGACUCAGAUGGAUGACAAACUCAUAGCCAACACAGUCGCCCAGAUGGAAGGCAAGGUCCAUUCAAUUGUGAGCAUUGAGUAUAAAGUCGAUGAAAUGAGGAAGAAAGUCGAGCACAUGGAGGCCAAGGUUGUCGAUAAAAUUGUCGCGAUGGAGGAUAAAGUCGAUCAAAUCAGAAAGAAAGUCGGCGGGGUGGAGGAAAAUGUCGACCAAGUAAAAAAUAAGUGUGAUAAAAUUUAUAUGCAUGUACUUUGA